CUAGCUACUCCCACACCGACCAAAUGCUAAAACUUACAUUGCUUCAUAUAGCAGAAGAAGAAAGAUGACUUUGUCCCUUCGGGGACAUCCGAUAAAAUUGGAACGAUACAGAGAAGAUUAGCAUGGCCCCUGCGCAAGGAUGACACGCACAAAUCGAGAAAUGGUCCAAAUUUUUUUUCCCAAAUCAAUCUCACAUUUUCGGAUUUGUUAUUCUCCCUGCAACUUGCGAUUUUGUUGGAACAUACAAUCUGAGGUACACCAGAGCAGCUGUUGAGAUAAAGAGGCCUCUCAAGUUGUCCAUGACAGAUGGCAUUCAAUGUGUGUUUGGCAUGUAAUACAGGGCUAUAAAAGUUCUCGAUGUUUUGGCUUCUGCUAGGCUGAAGGUUGCUCUCAGUAAUGUCAAUCUGAGGCAUGGGCUUUUGAUGUUGGUCCCUGAAGUAAUUGAAGUUUUGGGUAGGAUGGUGGACAAUUUAGCAGGAUCGUAGAGAGACUAGUGGAUGAUAAGUAAAUACGGUACCACGUGUUAAAAGCUGAAUCGGGCUUCGGCCAUCUUCCACAUUCAAACUCUUGACCUUUAAUGAGGCUUAAUAUCAACUUGGUCAGUGAGGACUGAGGAGCUGUAGUUCACUCUAGUACUAGAAUGCCAGCACUAUAGUGUGUGUCGAAGGUUUCACAUUUGAGCUGAAAGUCUGAGUUUAUACAGAAAUUACCAAUUUUAGUGCUCUAUUAAAAUUCUCUGUUGCCGAAUGCCAGAACAAGGACCCGAGUAGUUCCUUCUUUGGUGACUAGAGCUACUUGUGCUGCAUGCCACCAGUUGUCGAUGCUCCACUUGUUUAUAUGUCCAUUGGAGAAAGCAGUAUUCUUUGUAAGGUACACGAACAAGGCACUUUGCUACCUUAAGAAAAGCUUAUCUGCAGUUUACACUAACUUCAGGAUUUUUUUACUGCCUGUGCAUACCUAAAUUUUCUGAUGCCUCUUGAUGAGCUAAUUUGGCUGAUACGUUUAGGGGAGCCUUCAGGUCUUUAGCAUGAGUAAGAUGAGACUCUAGUGAUUUCUCUUUGCACUAUCAUUUCAUUCACUAGCAUGUGUUAAUCACUAUGAAAUUCAACAUUUAAUUUCAGAAUUUGUAUACCUAAUGUGCUCCAUUAGCUCUCUAAGAUGAACGAAUGCUCCUUGAAUCUCAAAAUUUGAAAUACUUUCUAUGUAAAGUCUGGCCAUCAUCUGGUUGUGGAAAUAUGAUAUCCUCGUUUUGGUGCAAACUGUCAUUGGUUAAUGAUUGGCAGUGCUUCUACCAGUUUGACAAAAAGUCUCCGGAGAACCUGUUGGUAUAUGAGUUUUGCAAGAGGUGGUUGAAAUUUCGAGAUAGUGAUGAUUUUGACAAUUCUAGUUGAUAGGUACUUGAAAAUCUUGGUUUGUUUUAUGCUCAUUACAACCAAAAAUUGAACAGUCUCGACAAAAGACCGUAAUCAGACUAUUUGAAGCAUAUCUUUCAAAUUGCAGUUUGUCUUGAUUGGUCUAUUAAAUUUAUCAGAAAGCUUAAGUUAUCAGUUUUCAUGUUUUUCUCCAAGUGAAAAACUUGGUAACUUCCUUCACUGGACUAGUCAUGGUCAUCACUUUGGUCAAGUUUGUACUGAUCAUAUUACCAGAUUAUGUGUAUUCGUUGUUAUCAUUCUCUUGUAGGCAUCAGUUUCCUCUUAGUAUAUCUUCUUGGCAAAUGGUUGUUGCACUACUUCAUUUUGUUCUUUCCCAGUCAUAUAUUUCCCAUUCUCAUCUCACAGUGGGAGAAAGGCAAAUAUAAGGUAGUGUCAUUGUCUUGGAAAAUCUAUUAACUGAAGUUUUUUGCUUGAUUCUUCUGUCAUACACACACAAAAAAGAUAUUUGUUGACGUGUUACGUGUACACUGCAGUUCUUUCUUGUUUGGUUACAAAGACGUGCAUUACUUGUAAAUUGGAGCUCUAGGAGAAAAGUGAAACGUGAUACAGUGUCUGCCAUGGCUCCAUGCUGGGCAUUUAGAGAAGAAAUUGCCUUUCAUCUAUCGCAACUGUUUCCACUUUCCACACUCCUGUCUCUACAAUUAGCGUCCACAGGAAAAUGUGAAGCUAAUACCACUGCAGUAAUUGAUAAGGAAAUUGAUAUGGUUGAUGAGUUGGAAGAUAUGUUUAUACUUUCUGGAGAAAAGGGGAACCCUUGCAGUUACGUGGUUACUACUGCUCCUAUUUCUGUAGCAAACGAGUCAUUGUACCUGAAGAAGACCUUGAGACGUUUUUGGAAACUGUUGCUGAAUUUUGAGGUAAUUCACUGCUGUUCUUUGUGGAGCUUUUCUUUAUAGGAUUCCUACUUCAUGUGUUAUUGCACCUAAGCUGUUAUAGGAGAACCUAACGCAAGAAGAUUGUAUGCUGAAAAGUGAAAGUGAUCUUCACUGAAGGACCAUAAACUUGUAAGAUUAUACAUGUUUAUUUAUUGACUCACAUUUUUGUGCACGAUUGCUAAUUCUCUCUCUAAGUUCCUUCUGAUCUGUGUGACUAUGAACUCUCUAUUUACAUUUAAUUUCCAGAAUUGGAGUUCAGGAAAUUAAAUGUAAAUAAAGAAUUCAUAGUCACACAGAUUCAGAAGGAACUUAGAGGGACAAUUAGCAAUUGUGCAGGUUCUGGGAAAGCUAAAAAGGGUCAAGUUUUGAUUCAUAGGCUUUGUAAUUAGAUUCACAUAGGUGACUGAUUUGUCUUUCUGAGAUCUUAGAAUACUGGGCACCCUUCCUAGAAGGUGGUUUGGAAUCUGGAUGCUCUUAGUUUGUAAAUCUUUUGAUUGUUAUGGUCAUACUCACAGUUUAUUACCCAAAAAAAAAAGAACAUUUUUGUGCACAAGAAGCUGUAUGACAAAAGGCUAUGAAGAAUCAAUCAAUAGCUUUAAACGGAAA